rnacentral:rRNA from 1 species
CCUACGGGAGGCAGCAGUGGGGAAUUUUGGACAAUGGGCGCAAGCCUGAUCCAGCCAUGCCGCGUGAGUGAAGAAGGCCUUCGGGUUGUAAAGCUCUUUCGGCGGGGACGAAACGGUUCGUGCUAACACCACGGACUAAUGACGGUACCCGAAGAAGAAGCACCGGCUAACUACGUGCCAGCAGCCGCGGUAAUACGUAGGGUGCAGGCGUUAAUCGGAAUUACUGGGCGUAAAGCGUGCGCAGGCGGUUUGUUAAGACAGGUGUGAAAUCCCCGGGCUUAACCUGGGAACUGCGCUUGUUACUGGCAGACUUGAGUGUGGCAGAGGGGGGUGGAAUUCCAGGUGUAGCAGUGAAAUGCGUAGAUAUCUGGAGGAACACCGAUGGCGAAGGCAGCCCCCUGGGUUAACACUGACGCUCAUGCACGAAAGCGUGGGGAGCAAACAGGAUUAGAUACCCUGGUAGUCCACGCCCUAAACUAUGUCAACUGGUUGUCGGGGAAGCAAUUCCUUGGUAACGAAGCUAACGCGUGAAGUUGACCACCUGGGGAGUACGGCCGCAAGGUUAAAACUCAAAGGAAUUGACGG